rnacentral:rRNA from 1 species
UACAGAGGUCCCAAGCGUUGUUCGGAUUCAUUGGGCGUAAAGGGUGCGUAGGUGGCGCCGUAAGUCGGGUGUGAAAUUUCGGAGCUUAACUCCGAAACUGCAUUCGAUACUGCGGUGCUUGAGGACUGGAGAGGAGACUGGAAUUCAUGGUGUAGCAGUGAAAUGCGUAGAGAUCAUGAGGAAGACCAGUGGCGAAGGCGGCAUCCUGGACCAAAACUGACGCUGAAUAGCGAAAGCCAGGGGAGCAAACGGG